UUAAAUUAGGUCUGUGGUUGAAAGUCGAUGCCAGUCGCAGGCGAAACGAUCCACGUAAGCUAAGCAAAGUCUUAGUGAUCAUGGUGCGGCUUAGAAGUGAGUCCUACCGCAAUAGAGUGCGAGAGGGUUAGUAGUGAGAGGGUAAUUCCGGGUAGCGAAAGCUCCAGUGGGCGAGUGUGGGGUCAAAGAUCAGGUCAGCUAGUUUUU
rnacentral:ncRNA from 1 species